rnacentral:rRNA from 1 species
AGAGUUUGAUCCUGGCUCAGGAUGAACGCUAGCGGCAGGCCUAACACAUGCAAGUCGAGCGGUAGAGAGGCCUUCGGGUUUCUUGAGAGCGGCGCACGGGUGCGUAACGCGUAUGCAACCUGCCCUGUACAGGGGAAUAGCCCGUCGAAAGGCGGAUUAAUGCCCCAUAGCCCUUGGGGGUGGCAUCGCCACCAAGGUAAAGAUUUAUCGGUACAGGAUGGGCAUGCGUGCCAUUAGCUGGACGGUGGGGUAACGGCCCACCGUGGCGACGAUGGCUAGGGGUUCUGAGAGGAAGGCCCCCCACACUGGGACUGAGACACGGCCCAGACUCCUACGGGAGGCAGCAGUGAGGAAUAUUGGUCAAUGGACGCAAGUCUGAACCAGCCAUGCCGCGUGCAGGAAGACGGCCUUAUGGGUUGUAAACUGCUUUUGUACGGGAAGAACAUUGUCUACGAGUAGAUAACUGACGGUACCGUAAGAAUAAGGAUCGGCUAACUCCGUGCCAGCAGCCGCGGUAAUACGGAGGAUGCGAGCGUUAUCCGGAUUCAUUGGGUUUAAAGGGUGCGUAGGCGGUUUUUUAAGUCAGUGGUGAAAUCACUCAGCUCAACUGAGUAACUGCCAUUGAAACUGAGAGACUAGAAUGCAAAUGGAGUAGGCGGAAUGAAUCAUGUAGAGGUGACAUUCAUAGAUAUGAUUCAGAACACCGAUCGCGAAGGCAGCUUGCUAAGAUGCAAUUGACGCU